GAAGGGCCUGCCGUUGAUGAGGAACUGGGUGCUGGUGACGUGGACGGUGCGGAUGCCGACCGGGAGUGUGUACACGUCCUCCAGCAACGCCCCCUCCACCUGCGCCUGCAUUUUCACCUGGAUUGCCAAGGAGGAAGGGUAGGAGCAAGGUCUGACCAAACAGAAAAUAGAAAUCCAAGCUGGGCAAGUUAAAGGAUGAAGAAUGAGCUGAUGAGCUGCUGGAUGACCCUUCUGGGGCUUGCUCACCCCAAGAGCUGCAGUGUCUUUCCCCCAUACUCGUCUGGCCCAUUUCAUCCCCCCCAAGCAAGACAGUAGGACCACUUCUCUGCCCUGCACCAGGCAGCGACUGACGUGUCACAAGAGAUACAGACCUGAGACCCUGGAGACUCACAGCAGCUCAUCUGCCCUGAUUUCUGCAUCAAAACAUCACUACUGAUCCUUAACUCACAGAGAGUCCUCCAAGGCUCCAGCUAUUAAAGCUGAAUUCUUGCAGAGUAGAAAGAAAGCUGACUGCAUGGCAAAGCCUGUGGAAGAGGUUGGCAGCCUGCUCCUCAGAGACUCUGCUCUCAACUUGCAGGGCAUCUCCUCCCCUGUAUGGUCUCAAAUGGGAUGGACUGGGCCCUAAAGGUGAAGGACCUCAGAGUACAUGUGUGCACUCCAGGCAUGCCCUUCUCACUGCCAGACCUUGCAGUUCAGCACCCAGGGAGCUGCCAAAGCUUGAUUUGAUUACUGCCUAAUUAGCAAUGCCACGCUGGUCACAUGAACAGGAGCUGUGAGAGAAGAUGGUCCAUAGGGCAGUUCCUUAACCCAAUUAGACAGAGAGAACACACAGAAAGGAAGAAAUGCCACUUUACCUCUAAGGAGUAAAGGUAUCCAGGGUUCUCAUGCAUCAGGUAAGGCCACCAAAGAUUUGGGUUCAGGACUUUGAGCUCUCCCUCUGGCCCAUCUCCUGUAGCAACCACUUUCCCCUCCUGGUCAAGUAAACUCAGGGACAAGGAAUAGGCUGUGCUGCCAACAACUGACACCUCGUACUGCACCAUUGCUGGUUCAAAGGAAACAAAAGACUAUCAGAGACUGACACAGCAGGGGGAAUACUUGUAUCACAUGUUGGGGGCUUUUCACAAACAACAGCAUUAAAAAUGAGGGAGAUGUAGAACAACAACAGUGGCAUGAAUCGAGUGUAAGAAGCAGGACUUGCCUGUCUUGUGGCCCAGAAUUUUCCAACAAGGUUUGUGUAUCACACAACUCUCACUUAGAGAUAAUCCUGCUUUAAGUGGCAGGAAGACUGCUCCUACUGAGAAAUUCUACUUUGAGAAACACCUGAUCGUCCCUUGACUUUAACUUGCAACAACUUCUUGGUUUUGUUAUUGUUUCUGAAUGCUUUACCACAUUCUUGCAGCUGCUGAGCUGUGCAAUAGGCCAGCUCAGGUUCAAGAGAAAGCCACAAGGAAACAAAUUCAGUCAGGCUUUUGCAGAAUAUUCUCUCUGCUGCCCUUGUCAUCUCCAUUUGGAGCCUGAGGUAGCUGCUGUAAUUGUUCUGGACCUACCAACAUGCUCUGAUGAAGUAGUUGUCACAGUAAUAUCAUCUAUGUAGGCAGAAGGAGUGGUGUAAAGCACAACCGGGCGAUGGAUUCCAGCAUAAUUAAAGAAAUCAAACCUGGUGUUCUGCACAAAAUAGUUCUUGGGAUACCUGAGUGAGCAAGACAAGGAGAAAUGGCUACAUUAUGCUUCAUUACACAAGAACUGAAGGCAGCAUAUGGAUGCUGGCAAUGCAAAAUAGUCAAGUAAUCACAGCUGCUGGCUGGUAAAACAGUCUUUACAACAGGGUGGAUCUGUCUUUCAGUGGUGCUACUGCUGCUACACUAAAGGAUUCUGCCAGCUAACAAACAUGUGGAGCCCAAAGAGUUUGAUCCUUCAGGAUAGCAGGUACUUGCAGUUUCCAGCUGAAUUCAAGCUUCUCAAAUCUGCCAUUGAUUCAGCUUGACAAAUCACUUAAUCUCAGCUCCCUGUGUAUAAAAGAGAUGCAAUAACUCAGUGCUGAUUUCUUGUAGCACCAAAGCUUAAACUCCUCCCUGCUCGACUGCUGAAUUUCAGCAUAAAUACAAUCCCGUGCUUUUGUGAGUUGCUUGGAGGGUUUCAUGCACCAGCAGCUGAAUAAACUCCCACUCCCCCAUCCCUGGGAUUAGCCCAGCAGUGCAGCACCUCGGCAACUCACCUUGUUUUGUCAGUCAUGUACUGGAUGGACCCCGGGGGCAGAGUGUGGGGUGUCAGGGUGUUGUUGAGCGCAACAGUGACACGGCAGAGGGUCCCUGGGCUGCCCUGGACAAUGCUGCUGAUAUCAGCUUCAAAAGGGAGGUGUCCCCCUUCAUGCUCCACCACUUGCACCCCGUUGACCCACUGCAAGAGAAGACACCCAAAAAAAUGGAGUUAUUGGGGUUUUGUGGCAAGCAAAGCGCAGAGAAGGGAAGGAGCCCAGCAAAGGGCAGUCGGGAUCCCCAGCAACACUGAACCUUUUUCUGGGCUCUUGAUCCUCAAAGGAUCAAUCCAGAAGCCCUUCCUUUGCCAGGAGGUAGGUCUGGUUUACCUACAAAUGUCACUGAGAGACACAGUUUAGCGAGGAAAUAUUUAGGAACUAGUCCUGAUAUUGGAGCAAAGAGAUACUGGAAAUCACGGCCAAGUUCUUGGCUGGGGGAAAACAGGCAAGAGCGAAGAAAACAGCAAAGGGAUACAAACUCUAGGCAGAGAUGCCAUGAGCCCAGUUCCAGUGCAGCACAGUUUUGGGAGCACACGGACAAUCUCACGUACCACGAUGGAGUAGUAGUGGGCACUCCCAAAACGCAGCACCACCCUGGUGCUGGGGGAGUCCUGCAGCCAGCGGGCAGGGAGCAGCACCUCCUUCUCAUACCACACCCAGCCGAUGUAGUUCUCCAGACUGGGGUCCUGGGUCAGGUCGUUGAAGCUGGCAGGCACUGGCAUGUCAAUCACAGGGCCGGUCUGGCAGGAAUUUCAUGGAAAGGGAAGGAAGAGAUCAUUUAAAAAGAGAAAUUUUACUGCUGGAGGUGUCCCCUACCACGACAGCCUUACAGUCUCUUUGCCAAGGGGGAAAUAACUCAGGAAAACCUGUUUAGAAACUGGUGUGGUCUGUCACAGGUCCUACACAAGUCCUGAUUAGCAGCAGGCACGGGAAUGUGCCUGUUCCUGCAGGAAACAGCUGCUCAUAUCUUUUCCCCUCCUGAUGUACAAUGAAGUGCUUCCACUAAUGGCUCUGGUGUCAUGGAAUCAGAGAGGUGAGGGGGGGAAAAAAACCACCCAGGUUGUUGUUUUAGCCCAGGGCUUCCCACAGCCUGUAUUCUUUCCUGCACAGCUCCAGCUGCUGGGUGAGCAAUGCAGGGGUUGUUGGGGUGCUGCUUGUCAGGCUAAGAGCUGUAGUAAAAGAGCGGCAAGACUAAUGGAUAUUUUGGGACAGAUUCCUCAGGGAAGGUUCGUGGAGACUGUUUGGAAUGAGUUCAGCCUUUCUCAGCCCCUGAAAGCAGCAGGGAUUCAACGGAAUCACUUCACUUGAUUGUUUUAAGGUAAGGGUUAGAGGGAGGCAGUGUCACAGCACACUGAACAUCGAGGUGCUAUUGCCAAACAGAGCAGCUCAUUUUUAGCACCUGCUGAGCUCAUGAUGUUGCACAAACAAGUGCUGCAGCAGCUUCCCCUUUCCUGAGGAAGCCUUUCCAUGGAAAGGGGAACAAGGAAGGUGCGGUUGCCCAGGGUGAGCAUCAUGUGCAGGGCUGACUCAGCACCAGCACUGCAGAGAACUCGGUGCCUUUAUCAGACACUAGAAAAUCCCAGAGGGAAAAUCCUUGGAUGGUGAAGCGGAUUUUCUAGUAUUUGAUGCAGGACAUCCUUUGACUGGGAUGGCCAGAACAAGUGUCUCCUUCUGGGAGAUUCUCUGAUGGUUAAGUGUACAUGUCUAAGCCUCCCUUUGUGGGGGAAUAGUUCAGGACUCCUCUCCCCUGGCUAGCACUUUUUGCAAUAACUUCCAGCAGCACAGUGUCUUUCAGCUCUUCUCCCCUUCCACAGUUUGACCAAAAAUUUAGCCAAAAGACUAAAAAUAGUAAUUGUGAAUGACUUAUAUACUUUAUGCAUGGAAUACAUAACUUCUUUUUUUUAGGUUAA